rnacentral:rRNA from 1 species
UGAAGCUGGAANCGCUAGUAAUCGCGGAUCAGAAUGCCGCGGUGAAUACGUUCCCGGGUCUUGUACACACCGCCCGUCACACCAUGGGAGUCGGAAAUGCCCGAAGUCUGUGACCCAACCUGAGAGGGAGGGAGCAGCCGAAGGCAGGUCUGAUGACUGGGGUGAAGUCGUAACAAGGUACC